ensembl:miRNA
GUAUUGCACUUGUCCCGGCCUGUGGAGGAA